UACGUAGGGUGCGAGCGUUGCCCGGCUUUAUUGGGCGUAAAGGGCGCGUAGGCGGUCACGCACGUCCGUUGUGAAAUCGCUCGGCUCAACUGGGCGGGGUCAGCGGAUACGGCGUGGCUGGAGCAAGCUAGGGGGCAAUGGAAUUCCCGGUGUAGUGGUGGAAUGCGUAGAUAUCGGGAGGAACACCAGUGGCGAAGGCGGUUGCCUGGAGCUUUGCUGACGCUGAUGCGCGAAAGCGUGGGGAGCGAUCCGG
rnacentral:rRNA from 1 species